AUACGGAGGGAGCAAGCGUUGUUCGGAAUCACUGGGCGUAAAGCGAGUGUAGGUUGUCAGGUAAGUAGGAUGUGAAAGCCCGGGGCUCAACCCCGGAAUUGCAUUCUAAACUGCCUGGCUAGAGUCCCGGAGAGGGAGGUGGAAUUCCGAGUGUAGAGGUGAAAUUCGUAGAUAUUCGGAGGAACACCAGAGGCGAAGGCGACCUCCUGGACGGUGACUGACACUGAGACUCGAAAGCGUGGGGAGCAAACAGGAUUAGAUACCCGAGUAGUCC
rnacentral:rRNA from 1 species